UACGUAGGGGGCGAGCGUUGUCCGGAUUUACUGGGCGUAAAGGGCACGCAGGCGGUCAUGUAAGUCUGUUCUGACAGCUCCUGGCUCAACCGGGAGAGGCGAACGGAAACUGUAUGACUUGAGGACUUCAGAGGGACACGGAAUUCCGGGUGGAGUGGUGAAAUGCGUAGAGAUCCGGAGGAACACCAAAGGCGAAGGCAGUGUCCUGGGAAGUACCUGACGCUCAGGUGCGAAAGCCAGGGGAGCGAACGGG
rnacentral:rRNA from 1 species